rnacentral:rRNA from 1 species
AACGUAGGAGACAAACGUUAUCCGGAGUUACUGGGCGUAAAGGGCGUGUAGGUGGUUUCGUAAGUCUGGCGUGAAAUAUCUCGGCUUAACCGAGGCAGGUCGUCGGAUACUGCGGAACUAGAGGACGGUAGAGGCGUGUGGAAUUCCGGGUGUAGUGGUGAAGUGCGUAGAGAUCCGGAGGAACACCAGUGGCGAAGGCGACACGCCGGGCCGUACCUGACACUGAUGCGCGACAGCAUGGGGAGCAAACAGG